rnacentral:rRNA from 1 species
CAGCCGCCACGGUAAUACGUAGGGUGCGAGCGUUAAUCGGAAUUACUGGGCGUAAAGCGUGCGCAGGCGGUUGUGUAAGACAGGUGUGAAAUCCCCGGGCUUAACCUGGGAACUGCGCUUGUGACUGCACAGCUAGAGUAUGGCAGAGGGGGGUGGAAUUCCACGUGUAGCAGUGAAAUGCGUAGAGAUGUGGAGGAACACCGAUGGCGAAGGCAGCCCCCUGGGCCAACACUGACGCUCAUGCACGAAAGCGUGGGGAGCAAACAGGAUUAGAUACCCGCGUAGUCCCUGUCUCUUAUAC